GUGCUCACUUCAGCAGUACAUAUACUAAAAUCGGAACAAUGCUGAGAAGGUUAGCAUGGCCCCUGGCAAGGAUGACACACAAAUUAAUGAAAUAUACCAUACUUAG